rnacentral:ncRNA from 1 species
GCAGAGUAGGAGAUCCCGCGUAAAGUGCCGCCCGAACGGGGAGUUGUCGGACGGACGAAAAAUACACAGCCUGUGUAUUUGCGGUGGGAUCUUCGCAUCCCGCUG